UACGUAGGGGGCAAGCGUUGUCCGGAAUCAUUGGGCGUAAAGCGCGUGUAGGCGGUUCAGUAAGUCUGCUGUGAAAGUCCAGGGCUCAACCCUGGGAUGCCGGUGGAUACUGCUGGGCUAGAGUACGGAAGAGGCGAGUGGAAUUCCCGGUGUAGCGGUGAAAUGCGCAGAUAUCGGGAGGAACACCUGUGGCGAAAGCGGCGCACUGGACCACAACUGACGCUGAGGCGCGAAAGCUAGGGGAGCAAACAGG
rnacentral:rRNA from 1 species